rnacentral:lncRNA from 1 species
UGCAACUUUAUGAUAUAGAAAGUUCAAAGUGAGAGAGAAAAUAUUGGGUUGUCUUUUUUCAAACUGAAAACAAGAGGAGAUAUUUUCAUUGGUUUAUUAGGAAAGAGUGGAUCACAAGAAGAAUAAGAGUGUCCGAAAAAGCUUUGCAUUGAUUGGUAUUUGUAUUCAAGAGGGAGGAAUAUGUUUCCACAUGGAUAAUCUCUAAGUCUCUCUAUGUUUUUA